UCACCCCUCGGGCCCUGUGCCCGGUGUUGGACGGCCGGUUCGGGCGACCGAACCCCUCCUAAAGACAACGACGGCGGCCUGUGGUUCCCCCGGUACACUGAGCUUUUCACGAGGCACGUGCCGGACGAGGGCGCCCAGGACCCGGUCCUCUCCUCUCAGCAGGAAACUUCUCAAU
rnacentral:misc_RNA from 1 species